AAAUUACAGAUUCAGUCAUUAGUGGUAAGAUGAUUCUAAUUUUCUAUUUCUUCUGUGUCAUUUGGUUAAGUUAGGGUUUUUCUAGGAAUUUAUCCAUGGUAUCUAAAUUUUCUUUUUUUAAACAUUUUUUAAUUAAAUUUUUUUGGCCUCACUGUGUGGCAUGCGGCAUCUUAGUUCCCCAACCAGGGAUCGAACCUGCGUCCUCAGCAGUGAAAGCGCAGUGUCCUAACCCCUGGACCACCAGGGAAUUUCCUUUGGUAUCUAAAUUUUCAAUCUAUUGGCAAAAUAUUAUUUAUACUGACCCUCCCAGAAGCUUGCUUGUUAAGAACAACUGCUUUAAAAUGUGAAUUUCAUUUGUGCAAAUAUAUUAUGUAUUUAAUCUCUUAAUCCUAAAAUGGAAAGGAAAAGCAACAGAUGGCAUCUACACUUUAUAUGCCAAGAUGCUCUCUUAGAAUUUGGAGAGAGUCUGGGAGCAGCGUAAUGUGAACCAGGCCAGUUCCAGACUGAGGCAGAGCUGGAAUCUCCUCCCCAGUCACCACAGCUCACAGAGCAAGGCCGGAACAAGCUGGACUGUGGGCCUUCUGCUCUCUUAGAAUCUGGAAUUCACCUUGGAUUUUGGAAUCUGGAGAAUAACACUAUUUACAAUAGCCAGGACAUGGAAGCAACCUAAAUGUCCAUCAACAGAAGAAUGGAUAAAGAAGAUGUGGUACAUAUAUGCAAUGGAAUAUUACUCAGCCAUAAAAAGGAACGAAAUUGUGCUAUUUGCGGAGAUGUGGAUGGACCUGAAGACUGUCAUACAGAGUGAAGCAGAGAGAUCGCCAAAGCGCCUGUACAGUACCGCCAGCGCCUUCGCAGAAGCCCAAACUCAAGGCUGCGAGGACGAGGGUCAGCUCUGCGGUCCCCCACCCAGCCCCGCACCGCCCCCAGUGGUGUUCAGACAGCCUGUUUCAGGAGGCGCAUGGGCUGGGUCUGCUCACUCAGACUGUUUAAGGUUUUGAGCUCAGUGGAAUAAGAAGUUUCCCUGCAGAUCUACGUGGCCUCUGGACUGAAAUACAAAAUACCUGGCAUCAGCCAG